UUGGAUUGAAAAUUAAAGAUGGUUAGAAAGGAAACACUGGUUUUUGUUCUCUUCUCAUACCUCUUCAUAAGUAUAGCAUUCUUAGUUAUUUCAACGAAUGGAGAUAAUAUAUUUGUGAAGGUUCCUAGGCCUGUACUAACAAAUAAGCAUUUGUUCAAAUAUGAUGAAUCUCGUGAGAAUUAUAAUAUCGAAGUUAACCAUUGUCCAUGUUGCGUAUGGAGUGAAGAUGUCCCCCGUCAUUGUGUGGAUUUGUGUUGCUAAUUGGACUCUAAAGUAGUGGCUGAUGGAGUGCUCAUCCAUGGAGACAGAGAUAUUGUAAUCGAUGAGAACUGUAAUAAAGUUUAUUGGUAUCAAUAAUAAUAAUGUGUGGCUGUGUUUAGCGUCA